UACAGAGGGUGCGAGCGUUGUCCGGAAUCACUGGGCGUAAAGGGCGCGUAGGUGGCGCUGCAAGUCGGUGGUGAAAGCUCGAUGCUUAACAUCGAGUCGGCCAUCGAAACUGCAGGGCUCGAGCACUGUAGGGGCAGAUGGAAUUCCGGGUGUAGCGGUGGAAUGCGUAGAGAUCCGGAAGAACACCGGUGGCGAAGGCGGUCUGCUGGGCAGUUGCUGACGCUGAGGCGCGACAGCGUGGGGAGCAAACAGG
rnacentral:rRNA from 1 species